rnacentral:rRNA from 1 species
AGCGAACGCUGGCGGCAGGCCUAACACAUGCAAGUCGAACGGAUCCUUCGGGAUUAGUGGCGGACGGGUGAGUAACACGUGGGAACGUGCCUUUUGGUUCGGAACAACUCAGGGAAACUUGAGCUAAUACCGGAUGUGCCCUUCGGGGGAAAGAUUUAUCGCCAUUAGAGCGGCCCGCGUCUGAUUAGCUUGUUGGUGAGGUAAAGGCUCACCAAGGCUACGAUCAGUAGCUGGUCUGAGAGGAUGAUCAGCCACACUGGGACUGAGACACGGCCCAAACUCCUACGGGAGGCAGCAGUGGGGAAUCUUGCGCAAUGGGCGAAAGCCUGACGCAGCCAUGCCGCGUGAAUGAUGAAGGUCUUAGGAUUGUAAAAUUCUUUCACCGGGGACGAUAAUGACGGUACCCGGAGAAGAAGCCCCGGCUAACUCCGUGCCAGCCGCCGCCGUAAAAC